UACGAAGGGGGCAAGCGUUGUUCGGAAUUACUGGGCGUAAAGGGCGCGUAGGCGGCCUUCUAAGUCGAACGUGAAAUCCCCGGGCUCAACCCGGGAACUGCGUCCGAUACUGGAAGGCUUGAAUCCGGGAGAGGGAUGCGGAAUUCCAGGUGUAGCGGUGAAAUGCGUAGAGUAUCGGGAGGAACACCAGUGGCGAAGGCGGGACUUCCUGGCCGUGUUCUUGACUCGUCGUGAGGCGCGAAAGCUA
rnacentral:rRNA from 1 species